rnacentral:rRNA from 1 species
CGGAGGAUCCAAGCGUUAUCCGGAUUUAUUGGGUUUAAAGGGUGCGUAGGCGGCUUAUUAAGUCAGGGGUGAAAGACGGUGGCUCAACCAUCGCAGUGCCCUUGAUACUGAUGAGCUUGAAUGGACUAGAGGUAGGCGGAAUGUGACAAGUAGCGGUGAAAUGCAUAGAUAUGUCACAGAACACCGAUUGCGAAGGCAGCUUACUAUGGUUUUAUUGACGCUGAGGCACGAAAGCGUGGGGAUCAAACAGGAUUAGAUACCCUGGUAGUCCACGCCCUAAACGAUGAAUACUCGCUGUUAGCGAUAUACAGUUAGCGGCUAAGCGAAAGCGUUAAGUAUUCCACCUGGGGAGUACGCCCGCAAGGGUG